GAUGAACGCUGGCGGCGCGCCUAACACAUGCAAGUCGAACGAUUAAAGCACCUUCGGGUGUGUAUAAAGUGGCGAACGGCUGAGUAACACGCGGGCAACCUGCCCCUUUCAUUGGGAUAGCCACGGGAAACCGUGGAUAAUACCGAAUACUUCGAGACUUCCGCAUGGAAGACUCGAGAAAGCUCCGGCGGAGAGGGAUGGGCCCGCGGCCUGUUAGCUUGUUGGUGGGGUAACGGCCUACCAAGGCAAUGAUGGGUAGCUGGGUUGAGAGACCGACCAGCCAGAUUGGGACUGAGACACGGCCCAGACUCCUACGGGAGGCAGCAGUGGGGAAUCUUGCACAAUGGGCGAAAGCCUGAUGCAGCGACGCCGCGUGCGGGAUGAAGGCCUUCGGGUUGUAAACCGCUUUCAGCAGGGACGAGGCGAGAGUGACGGUACCUGCAGAAGAAGCCCCGGCUAACUACGUG
rnacentral:rRNA from 1 species